GACGAACCGUGCGAACGUUGUUCGGAAUCACUGGGCAUAAAGGGCGCGUAGGCGGCUUAUCAAGUCAGGGGUGAAAUCCGGCAGCUCAACUGUCGAAGUGCCUUUGAUACUGAUGAGCUCGAGGGAGGUAGGGGUAUGCGGAACUUCCGGUGGAGCGAUGAAAUGCGUUGAUAUCGGAAGGAACGCCGGUGGCGAAAGCGGCGUACUGGACCUCUUCUGACGCUGAGGCGCGAAAGCUA
rnacentral:rRNA from 1 species